rnacentral:rRNA from 1 species
AACGAACGCUGGCGGCAUGCCUAACACAUGCAAGUCGAACGAGACCUUCGGGUCUAGUGGCGCACGGGUGCGUAACGCGUGGGAACCUGCCCUUAGGUUCGGAAUAACUCCCCGAAAGGGGUGCUAAUACCGGAUAAUGUCUUCGGACAAAAGAUUUAUCGCCUUUGGAUGGGCCCGCGUUGUAUUAGCUAGUUGGUAGGGUAAAAGCCUACCAAGGCGACGCUCCAUAGCUGGUCUGAGAGGAUGAUCAGCCACACUGAGAGUGAGACACGGCGGAGACUAUUACGCGAGGGAGCAGUGGCUAAUAUUGGACAAUGGGCUAGAGGCAGAACCAGCAAUGCUGCGAGAGUGAUGAAGGCCUUAGGGUAGUAAAGCACUUUAAUCCGGGAUUAUAAUGACAGUACCGAGAGAAUAAGCACCGGCUAACUUCGUG